GUGGGGAAUCUUAGACAAUGGGGGAAACCCUGAUCUAGCCAUGCCGCGUGAGCGAUGAAGGCCUUAGGGUUGUAAAGCUCUUUCAGCUGGGAAGAUAAUGACGGUACCAGCAGAAGAAGCCCCGGCUAACUCCGUGCCAGCAGCCGCGGUAAUACGGAGGGGGCUAGCGUUGUUCGGAAUUACUGGGCGUAAAGCGCGCGUAGGCGGACCAGAAAGUUGGAGGUGAAAUCCCAGGGCUCAACCUUGGAACUGCCUUCAAAACUCCUGGUCUGGGGGUCGAGGGAGGUGAGUGGAAUUCCGGGUGUAGAGGUGAAAUUCGUAGAUAUGCGGAGGAACACCAGUGGCGAAGGCGGCUCACUGGCUGGAUACUGACGCUGAGGUGCGAAAGCGUGGGGAGCAAACAGGAUUAGAAACCCGGGUAGUCC
rnacentral:rRNA from 1 species